UGGGGAAUUUUGGGCAAUGGGCGAAAGCCUGACCCAGCAACGCCGCGUGAAGGAUGAAGUCUUUCGGGAUGUAAACUUCGUAAAAAUAGGAAGAAUAAAUGACGGUACUAUUUGUAAGGUCCGGCUAACUACGUGCCAGCAGCCGCGGUAAUACGUAGGGACCAAGCGUUGUUCGGAUUUACUGGGCGUAAAGGGCGCGUAGGCGGCAAUCCAAGUCAUCUGUGAAAUCUCCGGGCUUAACUCGGAACGGUCAGAUGAUACUGCUUUGCUAGAGUGCAGAAGGGGCAAUCGGAAUUCUUGGUGUAGCGGUGAAAUGCGUAGAUAUCAAGAGGAACACCUGAGGUGAAGACGGGUUGCUGGACUAUUACUGACACUGAGAUGCGAAAGCGUGGGGAGCAAACAGGAUUAGAUACCCCCGUAGUCCCUGAGCGGGCUGGCAAGGCGCAU
rnacentral:rRNA from 1 species